CCUACGGGUGGCAGCAGUGGGGGAUAUUGCACAAUGGGGGGAACCCUGAUGCAGCGACGCCGCGUGAGCGAUGGAGUACUUCGGUAUGUAAAGCUCUGUCAGCAGGGAAGAAAAUGACGGUACCUGACCAAGAAGCUCCGGCUAAAUACGUGCCAGCAGCGGCGGUAAUACGUAUGGGGCAAGCGUUAUCCGGAUUUACUGGGUGUAAAGGGAGUGUAGGCGGGUGGGCAAGCCUGAUGUGAAAGCCCGGGGCUCAACCCCGGGAUUGCAAUGGAAACUGGCCUGUUGGAGUGCCGGGGAGGCAGGCGGAAUUCCUAGUGUAGCGGUGAAAUGCGUAGAUAUUAGGAAGAACACCGGUGGCGAAGGCAGCCUACUGAACGGUGACUGACGCUGAGGCUCGAAAGCGUGGGGAGCAAACAGGAUUAGAUACCCGUGUAGUC
rnacentral:rRNA from 1 species